GCUUGUCUCAAAGAUUAAGCCAUGCAUGUCUAAGUAUGAACAACUUUAUACUGUGAAACUGCGAAUGGCUCAUUAAAUCAGCUAUUGUUUAUUUGAUAGUACCUCACUACUUGGAUAACCGUAGUAAUUCUAGAGCUAAUACAUGCGAAAAGACGCGACUCACGAAGCGUUGUAUUUAUUAGAUACAAAACCAAACGGCUUCGGCCGUCUCAUUGGUGACUCUGAAUAACUUUGGGCUGAUCGUAUGGCCUUGUGCCGACGACGUUUCCUUCGAAGGUGUGCCCUAUCAACUGUCGACUGUGAUAUAGACGCUCACAGUGGUUUUGACGGGUAACGGGGAAUCAGGGUUCGAUUCCGGAGAGGGAGCCUUAAAAACGGCUACCACAUCCAAGGAAGGCAGCAGG
rnacentral:rRNA from 1 species